AGCUCAAAGAGUUGUUGAAGUUCGUCGUAGUUAUGGAAUACCCCUGAAUGGUCAUGUAGAUGAGUACGAUGUGCAUGAAGAAUGGGACGAUGAUAGUCCAAGGAAAGUCAGUGACUUCUUCCAUAAAGUUCAUAAUGAAGCUAGUCGACCAACUCAUUCCACUCUUUUGAGCCCUCCAAAGUUGAUCACUGUAAGGCCUAGUUGGACAAGUGAAGAUCAUGACUCUCCAAAGUAUAGGGAGCAUCACGAUUUUAGUGGCAGCCCUCUUCGUAAUAAAUUUGAAGGGUUUCACCUUCAAGGUAGUCGAGGAUCAAGUCCG
rnacentral:misc_RNA from 1 species